rnacentral:RNase_P_RNA from 1 species
CGCGUCGGCCGGGCCGCCGCCUCGGGAGCGCCUUCGGGCGGGUGCCGGGGAGGAACGUCCGGACACCGCAGGGCACCGUGCUUCCUAACGGGAAGGCGUCUCGCGCGAGCGGGGCGACGGCAUGUGCAACAGAGAACAGACCAGCCGAUGGCGGGCGCCCGCGUCCGCACAGGUGAUGGGUGAAACGGUGGGGUAAGAGCCCACCGGCGCGGCCGGCGACGGUCGCGGCCAGGCAAACCCCACGGGGUGCAAGGCCACACAGUCCCGCGCUCCGCUCCGGCGGGGCCGCUCGCUGCCCGCGAGUGUCUCGGGACGGGUAGGCCGCUCGAGGCCGCCGGUGACGGCGGUCCCAGAUAGAUGGCGGCACAGGGCGGCGGGUCGACUCCGCCGCCCGGACAGAAUCCGGCGUACAGGCCGACGCGCGUC